rnacentral:tRNA from 1 species
UGGCUCAGUUGGUAGAGCAUGGGACUCUUGAUCUCAGGGUUGUGAGUUCGAGCCCCAC